GUCAAUAACCACUGAGCUAAAGACUCAGUGGCUUGUAGAGGAGACUUUAUAAGUCCAGUUGACCAGGCUAAGUGUUCGCUCACUACGUUAUGGACGAAAAUAUAGGCACUUUGGGAUGCUUCACCAGUCCCAAACUCUGCG
rnacentral:sRNA from 17 species